AGCUCCAAUAGCGUAUAUUAAAGUUGUUGCAGUUAAAAAGCUCGUAGUUGGAUUUCUGGUUUGAAAAUCCGGUCCGCGCAUCUUUUAGGUGUGUGUGUACUAUGGAUAUUCGAUCCAUUUUACUAGAGAUGCUUUCUGCCAUUAAGUUGGUGGAGGGCAAUUUUCUAGUUCUUUCACUGUGAAUAACUCAGCUUGCUCCAGAAAGGCACUUGCCAUAUUUUGAAUGUAUUAGCAUGGAAUAAUAAGAUAAGACUUUGGUGGUCGUAUUUUGUUGGUUUACACACUAGAGUAAUGAUUAAUAGGGACAGUUGGGGGUAUCUAUAUUUCAUUGUCAGAGGUGAAAUUCUUGGAUCAAUGAAAGAUAAACUACUGCGAAAGCAUUUACCAAGGAUGUUUUCUU
rnacentral:rRNA from 1 species